CGGGACGGGGCCGCCCCGCGAGGGACGGCGCCGCCCCGGGGCUCGUGAUAUCUUAUCUCGCCGCCCGUCGCGAGGCGGACGGAGGGAUGGAUGAGGUUACCUGGAAAAAAUCGGGGCGAUCUAGGCGGGCGAACCUCGCCAACGAACGAUCGGACAUGGGGAUAACGGAAGAGGGCGUCGGCUCGACUUCGUCGGUUCCUCGGGGCCGAGGCACGUACGGUGAAUAGGGACGGUCGGGGCCGCCCGUACCGGGUCGUGAGAGGUGAAAUUCUAGGAUCGACCCGAGACGAACUGCCGCGAAAGCAUUCGGCAAGGACGCUUUCAUUAAUCAAGAACGAAAUCGGGGGAUCGAAGACGAUCAGAUACCGUCGUAGUCCCGACCGUAAAACGAUGCCGACCGAGGGCCCGGAGGAGUUACGUACGACCCUCCGGGCCCUCCCGCGAGAAAUCAGGAGUAUUCGGG
rnacentral:rRNA from 1 species